rnacentral:rRNA from 1 species
GACGAACCGUGCGAACGUUGUUCGGAAUCACUGGGCUUAAAGGGCGCGUAGGCGGCCGAUCGCGUCCGGGGUGAAAGCUUCCGGCUUAACCGGAACAGUGCCCCGGGUACGGACCGGCUGGAGGGAGGUAGGGGCAGGUGGAACUUCCGGUGGAGCGGUGAAAUGCGUUGAGAUCGGAAGGAACGCCGGUGGCGAAAGCGACCUGCUGGACCACUACUGACGCUGAGGAACGAAAGCUAGGGGAGCAAACAGG